UUUUUUGCGAUGAGAUAGUAAGUACAACUGGAAAUCUUUUAACAGAGAGCUUCGACAGCUGAGAAGAAGCAAAGAGGAACAGUUAGAAAAUGGCUAUUGAGCAUUUCACCCCGAGCAAAAAUUGUGAGGCGGUGACGGUUGCGACCGAUAUCUUGCUAGAGUAUGUAUGUACUUGAAAAGGAGUUGAAUGUGAGUUCAACUCGAAGAUGAGGUGGUAACACGCAAAAGGCGUCCUCAAG
rnacentral:ncRNA from 1 species